AGCGAACGCUGGCGGCAGGCUUAACACAUGCAAGUCGAACGGGCGUAGCAAUACGUCAGUGGCAGACGGGUGAGUAACACGUGGGAACGUACCUUUUGGUUCGGAACAACUGAGGGAAACUUCAGCUAAUACCGGAUAAGCCCUUACGGGGAAAGAUUUAUCGCCGAAAGAUCGGCCCGCGUCUGAUUAGCUUGUUGGUGAGGUAACGGCUCACCAAGGCGACGAUCAGUAGCUGGGUCUGAGAGGAUGAUCAGCCACAUUGGGACUGAGACACGGCCCAAACUCCUACGGGAGGCAGCAGUGGGGAAUAUUGGACAAUGGGCGAAAGCCUGAUCCAGCCAUGCCGCGUGAGUGAUGAAGGCCCUAGGGUUGUAAAGCUCUUUUAACGGGGAAGAUAAUGACGGUACCCGUAGAAUAAGCCCCGGCUAACUUCGUG
rnacentral:rRNA from 1 species